UAGCUAGUUGGUGAGGUAAAGGCUUACCAAGGCGACGAUCUGUAGCGGGUCUGAGAGGAUGAUCCGCCACACUGGAACUGAGACACGGUCCAGACUCCUACGGGAGGCAGCAGUGGGGAAUUUUGGACAAUGGGGGCAACCCUGAUCCAGCCAUGCCGCGUGAGUGAAGAAGGCCUUCGGGUUGUAAAGCUCUUUCGGCCGGGAAGAAAUCGCAUGGGCCAAUACCCUGUGUGGAUGACGGUACCGGAAUAAGAAGCACCGGCUAACUACGUGCCAGCAGCCGCGGUAAUACGUAGGGUGCGAGCGUUAAUCGGAAUUACUGGGCGUAAAGCGUGCGCAGGCGGUUUUGUAAGACAGGCGUGAAAUCCCCGGGCUUAACCUGGGAACUGCGUUUGUGACUGCAAGGCUAGAGUACGGCAGAGGGGGGUGGAAUUCCACGUGUAGCAGUGAAAUGCGUAGAGAUGUGGAGGAACACCAAUGGCGAAGGCAGCCCCCUGGGUCGAUACUGACGCUCAUGCACGAAAGCGUGGGUAGCAAACAGGAUUAGAUACCCUGGUAGUCCACGCCCUAAACUAUGUCAACUAGGUGUUGGGUGGGUAAAACCAUUUAGUACCGUAGCUAACGCGUGAAGUUGACCGCCUGGGGAGUACGGCCGCAAGGUUAAAACUCAAAGGAAUUGACGGGGACCCGCACAAGCGGUGGAUGAUGUGGAUUAAUUCGAUGCAACGCGAAAAACCUUACCUACCCUUGACAUGCCAGGAACUUGCCAGAGAUGGCUUGGUGCCCGAAAGGGAGCCUGGACACAGGUGCUGCAUGGCUGUCGUCAACUCGUGUCGUGAGAUGUUGGGUUAAGUCCCGCAACGAGCGCAACCCUUGUCGUUAAUUGCCAUCAUUUAGUUGGGCACUUUAACGAGACUGCCGGUGACAAACCGGAGGAAGGUGGGGAUGACGUCAAGUCCUCAUGGCCCUUAUGGGUAGGGCUUCACACGUCAUACAAUGGUCGGUACAAAGGGUUGCCAAGCCGCGAGGCGGAGCCAAUCCCAGAAAGCCGAUCGUAGUCCGGAUUGCAGGCUGCAACUCGCCUGCAUGAAGCCGGAAUCGCUAGUAAUCGUGGAUCAGCAUGUCACGGUGAAUACGUUCCCGGGUCUUGUACACACCGCCCGUCACACCAUGGGAGCGGGUUCCGCCAGAAGUAGGUAGCCUAACCGCAAGGGGGGCGCUUACCACGGCGGGGUUCGUGACUGGGGUGAAGACGUAACAAGGUAGCCGUAGGGGAACCUGCGGCUG
rnacentral:rRNA from 1 species